rnacentral:rRNA from 2 species
AGUACGUGGACGUAGACCCGAAACCGGGUGAUCUACCCCUGUCCAGGGUGAAGGUGCGGUAACACGCACUGGAGGCCCGAACCCACGCAUGUUGAAAAAUGCGGGGAUGAGGUGGGGGUAGCGGAGAAAUUCCAAUCGAACCCGGAGAUAGCUGGUUCUCCCCGAAAUAGCUUUAGGGCUAGCCUCGGAAAGAAGAAUCGUGGAGGUAGAGCACUGAUUGGGUGCGGGGCCCGCAAGGGUUACCAAGCUCAGUCAAACUCCGAAUGCCAUAGAUUUAGUUCCGGGAGUCAGACAGUGAGUGCUAAGAUCCAUUGUCGAAAGGGAAACAGCCCAGACCAUCAGCUAAGGUCCCCAAGUGUGUGUUAAGUGGGAAAGGAUGUGGAGUUGCACAGACAACCAGGAUGUUGGCUUAGAAGCAGCCACCAUUGAAAGAGUGCGUAAUAGCUCACUGGUCGAGUGACUCUGCGCCGAAAAUGUAACGGGGCUAAACACACCACCGAAGCUAUGGCUUGAUGCUU